GCUGCUAACCGGUCAAAAAAAAACAAACUGUUGCUUGCUUGCUGCUAACUGGGGACGAGGAGAACAGAAGAAACAAAACGCAGGUGCGGCUUCAACUCUUGCUUGCUUCGUUCGACUAAUCGACUUUGAGGAGACGAGGUUGGGCUGCUCUAAACGAUUAAUCGGCUUCAACUCUUCAAGAUUACGCUAUGGGGAAAAACAAAAUCAUAACUUCUUUUUUUAAAGAAAGAAUGAAGAACAAGUUGAUGGAAACAAUGAGAUUAAACGGCAAAAAGAUGUCAGAUCAGUAUCUAGCAAACAGUAUGGUGAUUUACAUAGAAAAGGAGAUUGCUGAGAACUUUGAUUCGGAGUCCAUAAUUGAAGAAUUCAAAAAUCUUAAAGGAAGACGAGCAGAACUAUAAUUCUUCAUCUAAGAGAACCGGCCACCGGGUACCCACCUUCCUCUUCUUUUUAAUGUUUUCGUGUCUUUGUUCAAUUGUUUGUUAAACAAUGUUUACGUUUUAAUGUUUGAGAACGUAUUUUAUUUGAUAUUAAUAUUUGCCCGAUCCGACCCGAAUAGAAUCACCGACGUCCGACCCAAACAUAGAAUUUUUUUUUAGGUCCGGUAACUUCCGCCCCCCCCCCCGAACAUUUUUUUCAAGCUUCGCCACUGCCUCAUGUUAUGUACUAUCAAUUACAUCAAUUCCACAAUCCGAAUCACAUUAACAGGUGGGCACCACGUUAACCAACUAGGAAAUUCCAUUGGUGAGCCUUAAAAUGCUUUAAAUGGGAUAUAUUUAAUCAAGAUGUAUAGGUAAUUAGCCAUUGGUGUGCCUUAAUAUCCUUUGAAUGGAUAUUUUGAUUUGUCAUUAUUGUCCGUUUAUGGCUCGAAUUGCUUGGUCUGAUCUUUUUGGGUUGUUAUUUUGGUGGUUGAAUCUGAUUUAUUUUCACAUGCAUAGGUUAUGAGUCAUUGGUGAAUGUUGUAUGUGAUAUGUUAGAGUUUGAGGUUUGUAUGUGAUAUAUAUAGGCGAUGACCCAUUGGUGAGCCUUAAGAUACUUUGAAUGGGUGUUCGGAUCUGCCUGGCUUGGAUCACUCGGUCUGACCCUUUGGGGUUAUUAUUUUGGUGGUUGAAUCUUAUUUAUUUUUGUACAUGCAUAGGUGAUGAGUCAUUGGUGAACCUUGUAUGUGAUACGUAAGAGUUUGAGCUUUGUAUUUGAUAUGUAUAGGCGAUGACCCAUUGGUGAGCCUUAAGAUGCUUUGAAUAAAUGUUCAGAUCCAUUGUUGUUGUCCCUUUAUAGCUCAGUUUGUUUGGUUUGAGCUUUUUGGGUUAUUAUUUUGAUGUUUGAUGUAGGCCAUGAGCCAUUGGUGAGCUUGUACGUGAUAUGUUAUUAAACAUGCUUUGAAUGGGUGCUUCGAUCUGUGAUUGCUGUCUAUUUUUAGCUGAGAUUGCUUGGUUUUUGUUGUUGCCUAUGAUUGUGCGUUCGGAUCUGUCAUUUAUGUGACUUUUUUACGACAGUUUGAUUUGUUUUUAUUGUAGCUUAUGCAUAUGUAUUUAUUCAUUAUUGGCAGUGCACGUGUUUGUAUUCCUGCUUGUUUUUUUUCCUUUUUGUAGAUCAGAUUACUUUGUCUUUGUCAUUGCCUAUGAUGGGGGCAACAAAAUCUUUGGGAACCUGGAAGGGUUACAAAGAGUGGAAACGAACUGAAAAAGUUUUAGGUGCUUGGGAUCAAACGGUGGUCAAAGGUGAAGAACCCAUAUGGCUUGAAAAGAAAAGUUAAAUUGAAGCCGAAGAGUCGGGAUUAGGUUUGUGGGGCCAAAAGGUGGUCGAAGGGGAUGGAGCUAGAUGGGGAGAAGAGACAAGUCGAACCAACACCGCAACGAGUUUGGGGUCAGGUUCGUGGGGCCACGAAGAGGCUAAACAAAAACCAGGUUGAUGGACCUGUAAGACUAAAAAAUCAGACUAGGGUGGUGGUUGGAAGAAGAAGGAAGGUUUGGGUCCAAAACGAGACCCACCGGCUAGACCAAUUGAAGGGCUAAAUGAUAGUCCAAGACGAGCUAACCGAGCGUGUCACCAAGAUGCAUGGAAACAGCCCAAGCUUCCAACUGAAAUAAACACGCCAUAUGCACGUUAUGCACAAUCUAUUGGUGUAGAAAAAAUUACUAGAAAGUAUAUAUUUUAUUAUCUUUAAACAUUGAUUGUAAAUUUUGUAAUGUUUAUAUUAUAGCGAUCAAUGUUAAAAUC